CCUACGGGCGGCAGCAGUGAGGAAUAUUGGUCAAUGGACGAGAGUCUGAACCAGCCAAGUAGCGUGAAGGAUGACUGCCCUAUGGGUUGUAAACUUCUUUUAUAUGGGAAUAAAACGUUCCACGUGUGGGAUUUUGUAUGUACCCUAUGAAUAAGGAUCGGCUAACUCCGUGCCAGCAGCCGCGGUAAUACGGAGGAUCCGAGCGUUAUCCGGAUUUAUUGGGUUUAAAGGGAGCGUAGGUGGAUUGUUAAGUCAGGUGUGAAAGUUUGCGGCUCAACCGUAAAAUUGCAGUUGAAACUGGCAGUCUUGAGUACAGUAGAGGUGGGCGGAAUGCGUGGUGUAGCGGUGAAAUGCUUAGAUAUCACGAAGAACUCCGAUUGCGAAGGCAGUUCACUGGACUGCAACUGACACUGAGGCUCGAAAGUGUGGGUAUCAAACAGGAUUAGAUACCCCUGUAGUC
rnacentral:rRNA from 1 species